AUGAAAUAGCAGAUGUCCUCGUGUUAUGCACUGAAGACUUGUGGCGUGGGACAGACCUUCCAAUGGCAGCACCAGCAACGGAUUCAAAAGCCCAGGAUGAACAUGAUGUGCUCUGAGAAACAGAUGAAUCAGGGAGGUAUCAAAAGUGUGUCUAAAGAUACUGAAUAAAACUGUUUUAUAAAAUUGUUUCAGCAGGACUGCUCCAACCUUCAUCCCAGAAAUCCUACUGAGUUUACUGGAAAUAACAGGAUUCAGAUUACUCAAAUGGUUGAGAGCAUCUGCUUUCCUGCAAGACGCACAGCAGGAUGAAGCAAAAGACAUCACUCAAGAUCUGGCACGUCGACCAACAGUCAGACGGAGAUCUGGCAAGGAUUGAAAAAAAGAAGAGACUGCUUUAGAUUUCCUCAAGAAGAGUUUCAUUAGAGAAUUCCUAAAAGGAACCUGAGCCACCCUGGAAGUCCUGAGGUAAGACACACCUCCAUCUUACUGGAGACAACUGGGAGAGGCACGUCAGCCUGAUCAGGCAAACUCACACUUGGUCUCUGAGGGAGAUGUGGAACUCAUCAGCCAUUACUCCUGGACUUCAUUUUCAGAUCCCCUUCCUGGAGGUUGCAGCUGUGUCUCUCAGGACCUGGAAACUGUCUUCUUCAGAGAGCAUCAUGAGGUAGAUUUCACACAAAUGAGUCAGUGUGGUGUGGUGGAAAACCACAAGACAUAAAGCCAGGAGACCAGUGAAUAAUAGUUCCACCACCUACCAUCUGACCUAAGUCAAGCCAUUCACCCUCUCAGGUCCAACCCCCUUUCCUAUGAAGCCCCAUAACAAUGGUGUCCACCUUCCCUAUUUGGGGAUUGUUCAUUGUUUGUUCAUUCAACAAACACAGACUAAGCAUCAACAAUGAAAAAUCACACACAGGCCAAGCCCUCCUGAGCUUGACAGAAUAGCAUGGAACAAACUUCUCUGAACAACUAAUUACAAGUGUUCUGUGGUUUCAAAAUAAAGAACAAGAUGCACUGGGAGAUUGUGAACAGAUUCCUAGACUGGUGUUCAAAAUAACCUCCUAGGGGAGUCACACAUAAGUGAAUGGUACUCUAAGAAUCCAUUCAUUUAACCAAAACUUCCGUCUAGCCUAUUAUGGGCCAGGAAGUGGGCAUGUGGCUGGGGAUUUAGGAGUGAAUAGGACAGAUGCGGCCACACCCUAAUGGAGCAUACAAUACAGUGAAGGAGAAAGGUCAUCACAGAUUACACAAAUAAUGAAUUAAUUACUAUUGUGAAAAACACUGUGAAAGGAAAGAACUGAGAUAAAGUAUAUAAAAGUGCUUCAGGAAUUAGCACAUCCUUUAUAAAUGUUCCUCUCU